AAUAAAUCUUUUAUUGUUUCACCAUAAAAUUACAACCAAGAAUUAGGUUAAACCACUGAUGCCUAAAAUAAGUUGUACACUCGUGUUAUAGGCAUCAGAAUUUUUAUAAUUUAAU